AUAGAAGACAGCAUCCAGGGACAAGGAGGCUUUAGCUCAACACUGAGUUGGCAUUCAGCACCCUGGACUUUUGACUGUUGUUAGAGUCCAGGAACCCAGGCUCCACAUGUGGCCUCAGUAACCCCUCCUCUACUUCACACCUUCUGUACCAUCGGGAGACCCCAGGGAUUCAGCCUUUCAUGGAGUGUCUCCCUGCCUGUCACAGUCCUCUUGCAACCCAUCCUGCUGAAGAUGUGAUUUGUUUUAGCCUGGGGAAGAGCAGAGCUGCCUCCUGUGCCAGAUAACCCUUGCUAACACAUGGCUUUUAACAUGCUCCUCACCUGCCCCAACCCAAUGGUCCACAGAAAGUUGUGGCUAUCUCUCCUCCCUCCAGUUCUGGCAUGCUUUUCCUGCCUCAUCCCUACUAUUCCAUGAAUGAACCCCACAUUUAAGGUGGAUCUGAUGGCUGGAGCCCCAGCAGCCACCGUGGACCUGGCAGUAACCCUGAAAAUGGAAACCAAGUACUGAGGAUGAUGGAAAAGAAAGUGCCUGAUAACUUCAUGGAAACACCGCAUCAUCUUUGGGCUGCCUCAUCCGGAAUUUUGUGUGAUGGAAGAGAUCAUUGUGUGUUUAAGCCACUAUUAUUUGGGUUUUCUAAUAUAUACAGCUAAUGCUAACCCUAACAGAAGAUAAAAUGAGCCUUUUUAGAUAAGUAUGUGUCCUGCACUGGACAGAGAGUUUCUAAGAAACAGAUAGAAGAUUCUCAAAAUUCCUAGCCAAUUGUCAAGGAGAAAAUGAAAUAACCAGUUAAUAGCUCUCUCAUCUCAGUUAUUUAGAACUGGCCAGGAUCAAGGUGUCACCAUUUAACUGGUAGCAGCUACCAGUGCUAGUACCAGCAAAGGUGACGUAGCAUCCUAGAAAAGUAAAAGCACUUUUUUUUUUGAGACAGAGUCUCGCUCUGUCGCCCAGGCUGGAGUGCAGUGGCACGAACUUGGCUCAUUGCAAGAUCUGCCUCCUGGGUUCACACCAUUCUCCUGCCUCAGCUUCCCAAGUAACUGAGACUACAGGCACCCGCCACUACACCUGGCUAAUUUUUUCUAUUUUUAGUAGAGACGGGGUUUCACUGUGUUAGCCGGGAUGGUCUCGAUCUCCUGACCUUGUGAUCCGCCCGCCUUGGCCUCCCAGAGUGCUGGGAUUACAGGCGUUAGCCACCGCGCCCAGCCAAGAGUGAAAGCAUUUUUAAAUUUUGCCUCUCCAGCUUCUUCUACUAACCAAAUUUCACAUGGUCAUUUACUAAUUAGACUCAAAGGAAACCAGCAGCUGCCUCACCAGAAGCUAAUAAAAUAUAAUGCAACUGUUCCCACUGAUUCUGGACUGGUUUGUCAAUCCAUUGACCAGGUGAGUCUGAACCAG
rnacentral:lncRNA from 10 species